AUUGGACCUAGACAUCUAGAUUUUGAUAAUGCUAUUUUUGCAGGAAUGCAUUUCAAACAUUGUUUGUGAAUGUGUCUAAUGAAGGAAGUCCUGUACUAUCAACAAUUAUUACAGUCAUUGUAAGGGUGAGUCGCAUAAAUGAACUGAAUCCAAUUGGAACUGUGUUGGCAUUUACCUUCAGUGUAUCUGAAAAUAGUCCAGUUGAUACACUAGUUGGAAAAGUUACAUUUACCAAUGCAGACUGGCCAUUUAAUAAUAUGGAAUAUACGGUUGUUGGAGGCAAUUUGGGAACACCUCCCAAAUUCUACAUUGAACCAGAUACAGGAGUGAUAAAGCUAUUAGAUUCACUAGACAGAGAAUUUGAAUCAGUACAAGAUAGCUGUAAAAGUAACAGACUUGGACAACGAUGCCAUCCCUGACCCCCUCAGACAGAGAAGUGGUACUGCUCAGGUGACCAUCAAUGUUCUGACGAAACUGUGAACCCAGAAAAUAACACAGGAAGCAACCUAGGAAGAGCUUUGAAAGACGGGAAGAAUAUAUUCUUUUUUGGAACCCCAGGAUUUGAGGAACAAUAUAUUGGCAUAGCACCUCAUGUCUUCCCACCCAACAGGAGAAGGCAAACCAGACUUUAUUUCCUGAGCC
rnacentral:sRNA from 1 species